AAUAAUAGAAACAACGUCUCACUAUGUUGCCCAGGCUGGUCUCCAACUCCUGAGCUCAAGUGAUCCUUCUUCCUCAGCCUCCCAAAGUGCUAAGAUUACAGGUGUGAGCCACCGGGUUCCUGGCCGAAUCAGUCCUGACAGCAACCCCAUGAGGUGUGGCUGUUACAGUUCCCCCAAAUGGCGAUGAGAGAACACAGCCACUAAGUAGCUGCUUGGCUGCUUGACCCUGAAACCAUUGCCCUUAACCAUUUUCCUGUACUGGUAUGCUGAGCUGAAUGAAAUGAAGAUACAUUUUGUGUAAGUUGAAUUUUGACUUUUAGUUGCCAUAAAUUAAUUAAAUAAUUUAUUAUUGUAUAUAUUUUUUUGAGACAGUUUUGCUCUUCUUGCCCAGGCUGGAGUGUAAUGGUGCGAUCUUGGUCUACUGCAACCUCUGCCUCCUGGGUUCAAGCGAUUCUCCUACCUCAGCCUCCUGAGUAGCUGGGAUUACAGGUGCCUACCACCAUGCCUGGCAAAUUUUUGUAUUUUUAGUAGAGAUGGGUUUUCACCAUGUUGGCCAGGCUGGUCCCAAACUCCUGACCUCAGGUGAUCCACUCGCCUGGGCCUCUCAAAGUGCUGGGAUUAUAGGUGUGAGCCACUGUGCCUGGCCAGUUGCCGUAAUAUAUAUAUAUUUUUUUUGAGACCGCAUCUUGCUCUGUUGCCCAGGCUGGAGUGCGGUGGCAUGAUCUCGGCUCCAUGCAACCUCCACCUUCCAGGUUCAAGCGAUUCUUCUGCCUCAGCCUCCCGAGUAGCUAGGACUACAGGCGCAUGCCACCAUGCCUGGCUGAUUUUUUUAUUUUUAGUAGAGAGGGGGUUUCACCAUAUUGGCCAGGCUGGUUUCGAACUCCUGACCUCAUGAUUUGCCCUCCUGGGCCUCCCAAAGUGCUGGGAUUACAGGCAUGAGCCACUGUGCCUGGCCAUUUGCCAUAACUUUUAAUGAGAGGGUAGUUCCAGCUACAGAUUGAGGUAGUAUGUGAAUAAGGAUAGAAAGUGGAUAUAAAAGUAUUUUUGUUACUUUUUAAGAAAGAAUUAUCAGAAGGCUCAAAUUCUGAUAAUUUUAGCUAAUAGUAUUCUACCUAAGAAGUAAACAAAGGCCCAGAAAUUAGAUGAUAUGUCCAAGGACAUAGUAAAUGGGGAGCCAGCAUUAACUGUAGACAGAAAAACUUCAAGUCCUAAAUGUAUACUAGCUAUCAACCCACUCUUUCCCAGUACGCAAGCAUUACAUAGUUGUGAUUAGUUAGUUAGGGCUUUUAAUUAACUUCCAAAUGAAUAUUUCCAUGGGUUCUUGUAAUCCAUAAAUUCAUGGAUUAUGUUCAGUGUUUAUGAGAGCUGGCCCUAACUGAACAUUGCUCGGCUGUUUGGUUUUAGUUUCCACCAUUUGCUGUAAUCAGUGUUUUCUAAACUGCAGGCUGGGAACCAUUAGAUUAUAAAAUCAGUUCAUGUAUAUAAUAAAAUAACAUAUUAGAGUAAGUAUUGAUUUGUGAACAAUAUUAUUUAUUGGAUUACUUAUAUACAUAUACUUUUCAAAAAAUUGAGGGUCAUGUUAAUAGCACUUGGUAUGUAAAUUACCAGAAUGCUUUCUAGCAAUAUGGUAUUUAUUUACAUAGCUGGAUUGAGAAAGAAUAAUACAAAGUAAGCAUGUGACACCAAGGUUGGAAAAAAAAUGUGUUUUUGAAUGUUUGAUGAGGAUUCAAACAUGUUUUAAAUGAGAAAAUCGGUAGGAGGUUGAGGAUUGUAGUAGAAGUACCAGAUGCUUUUUCUUUUAGCUGUUUUUUUUCGUUGCUGUUGUUUGGUUGGUUUUGGUUUUGGUUUUUUUUUUUUUUUUUUUGGCUGUUAUUGUUUUAAAAGUAAGGACUAGGCCGGGUGCAGUGGCUCACGCCUGUAAUCCCAGCACUUUGAGAGGCGAAGGCAGGCAGGCAGGCAGAUCACCUGAGGUCAGGAGUUCGAGACCAGCCUGGCCAACAUGGUGAAACCCCGUCUUUACUAAAAAUACAAAAAUGAGCUGGGCGUGAUGGUGGAUGCCUAUAAUCCCAGCUACUUGGGGGGCUGAGGCAGGAAAAUCGCUUGAACCCAGGAGGCGGAGGUUUCAGGAGCCAAGAUCACACGGUUGCACUCCAGCCUGGGUGACAGAGCAAGACCUCGUCUCUAAAAAAAUAAAAGUAAGGACAGUGCUGAUUCAUGGGAAAUAUUUUGGCUUAUAAAGGGCCUGACGUUAGGGACAAGUGUGUCUGUGAGUUCCUAGUUUGCAUAACCUGGCCUUGUAGAAUUGAAAUGGUCUCAAAUGUAGUAUAGUUUAGUGAUGCAGUACUGUCUCUAAUUUGGGGCAAGUUAUUAAGCUUCUUACCACCAGUUUUCAUCUAGAGAUGAUGAAGUAGUUGGACCUUACAUAUUUUGGAUAUAUGGUAUUAAUAAAUCUUUCCCUUUUUGUUACAGACGUGUUGAUACUGCAGCUAGGAAAGCUGAGGGACUUCGGCUAAAUUUCUUUUGCAAGAUUUCAAUGGCAGAGAAUUAGUAGGGCCAGGAUUUGAACCCUGGUUUUUAUUGACUCCAAAUGAGUAAUGCUGUGAACAUUCAAAUACACGUUUUUUCAAUUCUCUUGCCCUUUUUUUUUGCGGGGAGGGGCAGGGUCUCACUCUCUUGCUCUGACUGGAGUGCAGUGGUGUGGUCAUAGCUUACUGCAACCUUUAACUCCUAGGCUCAAGCAAUCUUCCUGCCUCAACCUCCUGAGUAACUCAGCUGGGACCAUAAGCCUGCACCACCACACCCAGCCAUGUUCAGUUCUCUAGAGUAUAUACCUAGAAAUGGAAUUGCUGGGUCAUAUGGUGAACUGUUUUUUACUCAUCACUAACCAGUUCUGACACCAACAAUCAAUUCUUCAACUCGACACCAACAGAGUGUCCUACAAUUAAAUUUAAUUCUGAAACUACCUGAAGUUAGUACAAACUUCACAGGUUGAGGGCUCAAACACGUAAGACUGCCCCCGCUUCAGAUGCAGGUUUCUACCUGAAUUUUUAACCAACCAGCUAUAAAUUAGGGGGUUUCACAACCUCUUCCACUGGGUCUAUAAUUUGCUAGGAUGGCUUACAGAACACAGGAAGACACUCAUUAUCACUGGUUUAUUAUAAAGGAUUUAAAUGAAUAGCCAGAUGAAGAGGUCCUUAAGCUGAAGUCCAGGAGGGUUCCUAGCACAGGAGCUUCUGUAUCUAUGGAGUUAGGGUUACACCAGCCUCCUGGCAUGAAGAUGUGUUUUUCAACUCAGAGCUGUCCAAACCCUGACACUUAAGGGGUUUUUAUGGAGGUUUCAUACUUAGGCAUGAUUGAUUACAUUAUUGGCCUUUGAUGAUUGGCUUACUCUCUGUCCUCUCUGCUUUACCUGGAGGUUGAGGGGGUGAGGCUGAAAGUUCCACCCCUCUAAUCACACCUUGGUCUUUCUGGUGACUAUCCCCCUCCUGAAACUACAGGAGCCACCAAUCGACUCAGUAGCAUUAAACAGACAUUCAUCACUUAGGAAAUUCUGAGGGUUUUAGGAGCUGUAUGCCAGCCAGGAUCUUCAAAUGGAGACAAAGACGAAAUACGUGUUUCUGAUUCCACUUAACAACUGUUUGACUUGUCUACAAGUUUUGUUCUCCAAAGCAGCUGCACCAUUUCACAUUCCCACCAGCAAUCUAAGGGUUCCAAUUUUCUCCGCAUCCUUGUCAACACUUUUAUUAAUCUUAUUAGCCAUCCUAAUGAAUAAUGUAUCUUUUCAUGUGCCUGUUGGCCAUUUGUGCUUAUGAGUCAUAUCUUUGGUGAAAUAUCUAUUAAAAUAUUUUACCAUUAAAUUAGGUUGUUUUAAGUUACUUUAAUGUGUGUUUUGCACACCAGUUUACAAAGAAUGCAGAUCCAUUUUUUUUGCAUGUGGCUAUACAGCCGUCAGCAUUAUUUGUUGAAAAAACGAUUCCCAGUUGAAUUGUCUUGUCAUGGUUGAAAAUCAGUUGACCCAUGUAUGGGUUUAUUUCUAGACUUUAAAUUCUAUUAUAUUGAGCCGUAUGUUUUUUAUUACGUUUUGUAAUUUUAAAAAUUAGUGCUUUUGGUUACUAAAUCACUACAAAAUAAAUUUAGUCCCUAUCUUAAAAGAUAAUCUUCGUAGUAGCUACCUCCUAAAUAUGAAGUCUGUAAAUUAAAGGGUAAUAAUACAGUUUAGAUUACUUGGGUUUAUUAAAGAUUUUGGACUCUGCCUUCAAUCCACAUAUUACCUUUCUAUCUAAAGGAAAGGAUCCUGACCCUGAAUCAGAUCCAGGUGAUUAUCUUUGAUUUAGUCCUAAUAAGACCACUUAGUGUUUGCUCGCAUGGGAUAAAUGAGUAGGUUCCUUUAAAAAUUAGUUUCUAUUUGUGUGUGUUUUUUAUAUUAUCUCGUUGUAUGUUAGUGCAUUUGGAUUAUGCAUGAUGUACAGGACUUUUGGGUUUUGAAGUCAUUGGAUUUUUAAUUAGAGGCUGUCAUGUUUUUCUGUAAUGAUUUUUUGUUGUUUCUUGAAGGAUAAGUUAUUUCAUGCAUUUUCAUUUGUAGGAACUGUAAGAAAACCAGCAGUUAAUAAUAGUAAAAGGUGGUGGUAAGAGGGUGAUUUCUGAAUCUUGUAAAUACAUGGUUUUAGGAGCGGAUUCAGAUAACCAAGCAUUUAAAAUACUAUUAAUGAAAUACAGGAAAUGAAACCACAGCAUAGAUUAUGCAUGUAGCCAAAAUGUUCAGUUAAACUUCAUUUUCAACGUAAGUGAAUGAAAAUGGUCUAAUACUAUUUUUCUUAUCACUCACACAGGAAACCAGGAUUACCGAGGAGGAAAAAAAGCCUUCCUGUGGUGCUCAACUGUGAUUCCUUUUCACCAUUCACCCUGGAUGUUCUCUUCACUGUGGGAUGAGGUAGUAGGUUGUAUAGUUUUAGGGUCACACCCACCACUGGGAGAUAACUAUACAAUCUACUGUCUUUCCUAACGUGAUAGAAAAGUCUGCAUCCAGGCGGUCUGAUAGAAAGUCAGUUAACUAAUUGUACAAUAUUUAAGAUUAACUUGUCUUAAAGAGAUGUAGUGCAGCAUUUGUUUAUGGCCUGGAAAUAAAUUAAUUUAGAGAUAAAGUCUGUAGCAAGUACACUGGAUGGGGGUGGGGAAACCUUUUGCUUCUUGUCUUAUUUCUCUGUGUCAGAAUAAAUGUAUUUUUUUAUUUUGAUUUAUGCUGAUAAUUUUAUGUUGAAAUUUUCUUUCGAAAGAGAUUGUACUUUCCAUUCCAGAAGAAAACAUUGCUCUAUCAGAGUGAGGUAGUAGAUUGUAUAGUUGUGGGGUAGUGAUUUUACCCUGUUCAGGAGAUAACUAUACAAUCUAUUGCCUUCCCUGAGGAGUAGACUUGCUGCAUUAUUUUCUUUUUAUUUAGAUGAUAUUAAAACUCAGAAGAAUUAAUUUUGACAUUUUGUAUUUACAGUUUAUCAGUUAAUUUUCUCUGUUCAAGUAGUACAGUAGGCACAGAUUAACAUUUAAAUUUUUCACAUAUGGUAUAUUUCAGAAAUUUGAAGUUAAGCAAAAAUUUUAAUGAGUAGAGAAAGUAAGUAGCCUUCAGGAAAUCUUCAUAGAGGACCAGGCCCUUUUGGAAUUGUGAAUAGGUUUAUUGCCUUACAUCCUGGUACACAUGUCCAAGGUCAGGUCCUGGGUGGUAAAGGUAAAUACAAAUUGGAAGGGCACUGUGUGAGCCAAAAUGAGUCAGAUUAGUCAUGAUUCAUUUCCAGUUUGGGUUUUGGGUGGUCUUGGAGAAUGUUGUAAGCACUGCUUCAUUGAUAGGUUGAUUGAGCCAGACUUUACUCAGCAGCCUGGAAAAGGAGAGAUGGGCUCUGGGUUCUACCUUUGCUCACUGGUAAGUUGCUAAGAUUUCAGCUUUGCCCUCAAACCCUGAAGUAGUCCUUCAUUCACACAGUGGGAUCACUCGAAAAUGUCAGAUGGGGAAGUCCAUAGGUUGUUACUUUAAAGAAAAUAGAAAAAAUGCUGGAAAAGGUUUCUUCAAUUUUAAUACCCAUGAAGGCCCAUGUUUUAGCUUUCCUCCGAUGGGCAAACCAUACACUAACUUGGGCCUUGUAAUCAACAAGCAAGGCUAAAAGCUCUCUAAGUGCUUGCUGUUUAAACUAUUUUGUGUUGGAAGAAGAGUUGGAAAAGAGGCAGUGUGGAGGUGAGGGAGAAGUUCCCUCCCUCCAAUCAUUUCCAAUAAAUGGAAAUUUAAGGAGAAAUUUGUGUUUAUCCUUAAUAUCUAAGAUAAUCACUGUGCAGUGCCAUUGGUACUUUUCAUGAGAGUAGAAACAUCAAACUUCCUUGGAUGGGCCCAACCCAGGUGACUUAACUCUGGACCAAAUGUAUGCUUUUUGUUUUAUCCACUGUGGACAGCUGCAUAGAUAAUUGGUCUUUGUUCUAAACUGCACAUAAAAACAUGGGAGAAAAUGACAUUUGUUGCCUUUUGAUGUGCCAAAGAAGAGUGGGAAUGUUCUAAGAAUUCUUUUUGGCUUAAUCUUUGUUGAAUUGAAAAUAUGUAUAACUCUUCUGCUGAAAGUGUAGCAAGUACAGUCAUGAAAUUUUGUGGUCUUCCUGACAUGUUCUUCCAGCAUAACGUUGCCACCUUCAGUUGGAAACGUAUCCUUAUCUAAUAAUUAAGCCCUGGAGAAAAAUUAAUUUAUAUAUUUUAUUAAUUACAUAAGGACAUUGUUAUUAGCUAAGCAGAGUAAGUAAAUCGAAAUAAAACUUUAAAAAUGCCUUUAUGGAGAGAAUGACUAUCUCUGAAAGCUUGUUUUUAAUGAUGAUAAAAUUCAUGAUCAGAAUUUGUUUCUGUUUGCUUUAAUUCAGGGGUCAAAAACUGAAAUACCAUCAGAGGCCCAGGAGGGGCUAGUUGUAACUGGCAAAUAUAGUAAAUUAAUUUGCUCUGGUUGAUAGGUAGCAAGCAGGGUUUAUAUACAUUGUCACCUACUUUUCCAGUUAACAGGAGAGACUGGAGAUUUUAUGAAAUUUGAUAUUUAAAUGUUGGUAACUGGGUUGGGCACCAUGGCUCACACCUCUAAUCCCAGCACUUCGGGAGGCUGAGGCGGGUGGAGCACCUGAGGUCAGGAGUUAAAGACCAUCCUGACCAGCCUGGUGAAACACAGUCUCUAAUAAAGAUACAAAAAUUAGGCCGGGUGUGGUGGCUCAUGCCGGUAAUCCCAGCACUUUGGGGAGGCCAAGGUGGGCGGAUCACCUGAGUCAGGAGUUUGAGACCAGCCUGCCUAAAUGGUGAAAACCUGUUUCUACUAAAAAUACAAAAAAGUAGCUGGGCGUGGUGGUGGGCGCCUGUAAUCCCAGCUACUCUGGGGGCUGAGGCAGGAGAAUCACUUAAACCCAGGAGGCAGAGGUUGCAGUGAGCCGAGAUCACACCACUGUACUCCAGCCUGGGUGACAGAGCGAGACUGUCCAAAAAAAAAAUUGAUAAUUAAAUGUUAAAAGUCAGCGACUCCAGUAAUACGUGGUGGGCUGAGUAUUAGACUACUGGCUUACAUCCUCUGAUGUCAUUACUUUCUUGUUCGUUUGUGACUUGAGGUUGGAUUUUAAGCAAAUGUAUUUGUGGCUUUUUACCAAGGUCAUAUGGCCAGAUAACUUUUCAAAAGCAUUAGUUAAAGAAUUCUGAUUAGUUUGAAUUAGAAACAAAACUCAAAGAACAUGACCUAAUUUAACAGGUUAAUUUGAAGUGCAUCUGCCAAGUAGAAGACCAGCAAGAAAAAAAAAAUGGGUUCCUAGGAAGAGGUAGUAGGUUGCAUAGUUUUAGGGCAGGGAUUUUGCCCACAAGGAGGUAACUAUACGACCUGCUGCCUUUCUUAGGGCCUUAUUAUUCACCGAUAACCUGUUUCCUUGCUACUUUGCUUUGGUGUAAGCAGAGUUCUUUCUGUAGGUUUUUUCAAAUGAAAACAUUGCAAGAAUAUCAAAGAGAGCAGUGUUUGCGUUAGUGAUUAUAAACUGCAGCAUGGUGCUGACAUUGAUAACUGAAAGUCAACUAAUGAGAAUUUGAGACUUCUGAAGUACACUUAGUUGCUAGUGUCUCCCUUUUGGUGUCACUGGAAAGUUUAGAAAGCAUGGUUUUGUUUUUGCUCAGGUUUCUCUUUCUGUGAUGCAGAGACUCUCAGCUGUUCCUCCUCUAUGUCUACAUUAUGUCUGAAGGAAAGAAUUUAACAAAACUUGAAAUACUGCUGUUUUUCUACAAUGUUUGUAAAUAUUUAUCUUGCUGCUUUUCUAGGUUUGUCUUCUGGAUUUAAAAUUUGGGGCGGCUGGGGUGGAAUUGCAUGGUUUGGGAAUGGGUAAUUGAGCUGCUGCUCAUUAUGGUAUGUAACAGUGAUUUGUCUGUUUAAUAUGUACAAGAACUGGAAGGUCAAUAAAAUGAAAGUGGUUGUCUUGACUGGGUAAUAGUGUUACAUAUUUUGUUAAAAGUUAUACAUCUUUUCAAUAAAAACACUGCAUACUUCAAAACUAGUGCUUUUUAAGUCAUCCUUAACCCUUAUCCCCAUCCUUGCAGUAGUAGAUGCAUUUUUCAUUUGUAAUUAUUAUGAUUUGUUCUUAGUUUCAUUUUUCAUUAGCAAUAAUUUGGUGAUUGGAUGGUCAUUUACAGAUGUUUUAAUAAAGCUAACACGAGCAAUUUCCAGCUCUUCCAUUUUUGUAAACACUUGUGUGACUUUGUACAGACAAUUAACUGCUCAGGAUCACCCUCCUUUUUGUUUUGUUUUUGAGAUGGUCUCAUUCCGUCACCCAUGCUGGAGUGUAGUGAAAUGAUCACAGCUCACUGCAGCCUUGACCUCCCGGACUCAAGCUUCCUAGUAACUGGGACUACAGGUGCAUACAACCAUGCCUGGCUAAUUUUAUUUUUGUAGAGACGGUUUCACCAUAUUGCCCAGACUGGUCUUGAACUCCUGAUUAUCCUCUGGCUUUUACCUCCCAAAGUGCUGGCCAGGACAGCCUCCUUUCUUUACUUGAGUAAUUAUUUGAGUUUGCUCAGGCAGACACUACCUUGUAAAAACUCUUAUGUCUCAUUUCACUAGUCUAGUUUGAGCAUUUAUCAUUCUAGGAAUGAGACGAAUUUGUGCAUUAGCAUUCCAUCUUUUUCCAACUACUAUGAACAGUAGUAUUUUUUUUUAUUUUAUUUUAUUUUUUGAGACAAAAUCUCACUGUUUCCCAGGCUAGAGUGCAGUGGUGUGAUCUCAGCUCACUGCUGCAACCUCCACCUCCUGGGUAGAGUAGACAGGAUUUAGGUAAUUUUUUGUAUUUUUAUUAGAGACAGGGUUUCACUAUGUUGGCCAGGCUGGUCUUGAACUCCUGGCCUCAAGUGAUCCACCGGCCGUGGCCUUCCAGAGUGCUGGGAUUACAGGUGUGAACCACCCUUGCCUGAUCAUGAGCAGUAAUACAUUUAAAAGUCUCCAGGGGUGAGAAAGUUGAAAGGAAAUUCAGUGGAGUUUCCCAUCCUGCCCCUCUGCUGCCUAGCCCCUUGCUCCAGUGGAAGGAAGAAUCGUGAUCUAGGGAUGUUCUCAUACUUGGGGCUUUAAAUUUCCUUUAUGAAUUGAGAUGGUUGGGUAUGUUUUCUAAGGUACCUUACAUGGUACAGUUCUUUAAAGUUGAAGAUUUAAGUUGUGGCAAAAUUGCAUCAAUUUCAUGUGCACUGAUUUAGGCGAAGAUGCGUAGGAAAAGAGCAAGGAAAUGAGGUGUGAUAGGAUUGGGGUAAUUUCAAAAUGAGUAUUUCUGCCUGGCCUAGUGGUUCACGCCUGUAAUCACAGCACUUUGGGAGGCCAAGGCAGGCAGAUCCCCUGAGGUCAAGAGUUCGAGACCAGCCUGGCCAACAUGAUGAAACCCCAUCUUACUAAAAAAAAGUAGCUGGCAUGGUGGUGGGCUACUUGUGAGGCUGAUGUAAGGAGAACCGCUUGAACCAGGGAGGUGGAGGUUGCAGUGACCAGAGAUUACGCUAUUGCACUCCAGCUUGGACGACAGAGCAAGACUGUCUUAAAAAUGUUUCUAGUUUCACUUAUUCUAAAUUUAUGUCUAACCAUUUUUAGUGAAGUAUUUGAGUCACAUCAGCUAGCCUUUUUCCUACAGCGUUGAAGUAAUUUUCUAGGUUCCUUGCUCUCCCCCCAUUUUAUUUCCUACUUUGCUUUCUGUUGUUGGGGUCCUAUGGGGAGGGCUGGGAAAGGAGUUGGGCCCUCUUAGGACUGGUCAUCAAUCUUUGUUCUGAGCAGUGUUUUGUUUUCUGGUUGAAUGGCUGACCUGAAGGAAGCAUCAGACUCCUUGGGAUUCUGAAAUCCUAUUUCUUGAUAGAAACCCAUAACUUAUUUUAGUUUGACUUAAAAACGAUCCAUAAGUAAGCAUGCAGGGUUGGUGUAACUGCAUUGAACUGGUAACAUCAGAAACACGGGUAGAAAUGAGGUACCCCAGUGAUACGGAAGCUUUGUGACUGAUGUCCUGGAUUCUUUCUAGCUUUUCUUCCAGCCCUAACACAUGGUUUCCAUUCUCAAGGUUACCUCUGUAACAACUGACUGCUAUAACUGGCCACGUCGUUUUUCCAUUCAUGAAGAUGGAAAAAGGAAAAGGCAGAAGGGACACUUUUAUGGUUGAAUUCAUUUAGUUUUCUCAAGAAAUGCCACCUAGUGACUCCUUUACGUGUAAUCCCUUGGAACUAUCACAGACUAGACCAAGGAAUCCUGGAAAGUGGUCCUGGCAGGACUGAUUGCCAGGCUGAAUACAAUCAGGGUCCCACUAGUAAGGAGGGGAGAAAGGAAAUAACACAGAUAGUUAUCUGCAGUAAUUGGCAUUAGGAAAAAAAACUUGACAAAGACUGACAAGCUCUGUUCCACUCCUGCCAUUUAAAGAAAAACACACACACGCAUAAAAACACCAAGUGGCCUCAGAUGGGCAGCACUCCUCCUGACCCUGGGCUUCAGAAAUUUUCACUGGGAGUCUGAUGAGGCUCAGCCACAGUUGUGUGGGACUGUUCUCAAUUUCAAGCAGAGGAGCAGAGAAAGCUGGUUAGUUGCGGAGGCUUCCCACAUUACUUGGACCCUACAAUAUAUAUGACUUCUAUCACAGGACAUGGUACAGAACUGGAACAAUAAAGCAUUUUUUAAAAUUUAAUUUCUUGAGCAAUUUUAGUUUCACAGCAAAAUUGAGCAGAAAGUAUAGUGUUCACAUAUACUUCCCUGUUUAUUACGCACACACUGCCUUCCUCACUACUGAAGUCCUGACCAUAAUGGUACAUUUUAAUAAAGCAGUUUGUUUUUCCCUUUUCUUUGAAGUUGUUCCAUCAUGAGAAUUAGGCUAAAAGUCUUAGCUUACUGCCCCAUGGAAGGAAGGACAAAUAGCAAUGACCAAGCAACGUAUUUUUAGCUUUGAGGCCAAAAUUGGCUGAAAAUGACAGAAGCAGUUACUUCAGAGAAAAUGAUUUUUUGCAGUUCUGCAUAAAUUUGAAGAGGUAAACCUGGAUUGCUGAGAACAAUGAGUUAUAUGCAGUGGACUAGAGGAAGAUGCAUAUUCAACCAUGUCUUUUUUUCCAUCCAAGAAGAGUUACUAGCAAGCAGUAAGAUGAGAGGAAAUGAAACCAGUCAGACUGCUGAGUGCUGGAGAAGCGGUCCCUGUGCACACUCCGGCAUGGGCAUGGAUGUACAUGAAGCAUGGCACCAACAGCUGCUCCUGUGAGGCCUCAAGAAGCUUACAAUCGUGGCAGAAGCUGAAGGGGGAGCCAGCGUGUGGCAUGGCAAGGGAAGGAGCAAGAGAGAGAGGGAGGAGCUGCCAGGCUCUUGAACAACCAGAUCUCACGUGAACUCACAGAUUGAAAUUCACUCAUUACUGUGAGGACACACCAAGCCAUUUAUGAGGGAUGCACCCCUAUGACCCAAACACCUCCUACUAGGCCCACCUCCAACAUCAGAGGUCACAUGAAACGAGAUGUAUAGGGGACAAAACAGUCAAACCAUAUCAGUCCCACCAGCAAGAAGGCUCUCACUGGAUGUGGUCCCUUGAUCUUGGACUUCUCAGCCUCUGUAACUGUAAAAAAUAAAUUUUGUUUCUUAUAAAUUAUCCGGUUUCGGGUAUUUUGUUAUAAGUAAAAGAUGGACUAAGAAAGCAUUCAAAGUUUAGGCUUUCAAAUCUUCCCUAGCUCUUAUUUCUUUUGAGCCCUUUCAGGCCUUUUCUACCUGUGUGCACAGUCUUGCAGUCAUCCAGGAAUGUGUGAAUAGCUCUAGUUCUCUCCGGCCUCUUCUACACGUGUGUGCAGCUUUCCAAUAAGUUUGGGACGUAUGGAGAGCCUAUCAAGGUUCUCUAUGUCUAUCUCAUUUUUAACAUCUCCUUGUUAAAUUUCUGGCUAGUCUGCUGGUGCCUUGCUUUCCCCCAACCAGGACUGCAACCCCAGGGUAGCUGAGUCAUUGGCCUUUCAUAUUUGUUUGCUACCUAGAUUGCUACUGUUUUUGAUAGUGUUGCUGGGUAUACCGCUUUUUGCACUCUGCUUCAAGUAAAGUGAGUUCAGUUCCCCCUGGCAGGAGACUGUAGAAAUAAUUGGCCCAGAGAAAGACAUUCAAAUACUGACGUUUAAGAGAACCCUAACUAAAAAGCUGGCACAUUGCCUGAUUACGGGACAAGCAACAGUUCUGAAAGUGUGGUCCAUGGACCUCCCAGGGAUCCUUAAGAUUCUUUUGGGGAUCCAAAAUAUUAAAAUUAUUUUUAUAAUAUUUCAUAUCUUAUUUACUUUUUUCAGUGUGUUAAUUUUUGCACAGAUGGUCCAAAAGCAAUGAUAGGUAACACUGCUGGCCCAUUUAGCAUGAAUCAAAGCAGUAGUACAAAACUAUACUAGUAGUCACUUUUUUCUUCACUGCCAUACAAAGAAUCAUUCAAAAGCCACUUUGGUCCAGGUGCAGUGGCUCAUGCUUGUAAUCACAGCACUUUGAGAGGCCGAGGCAGGCAGGUCACUUGAGGUCAGGAGUUUGAGACCAGCCUGGCCAACAUGGUGAAACCCCGUCUCUCUUAAAAAUAUAAAAAUAGCCAGGUGAGGUGGCCAAGAUGCCGCCAUUGCACUACAGCCUUGGUGACAGAGCAAGACUCUGUCUAAAAAAUAAAAAUAAAAAGCCACUUUGGCCAGACACAGUGGUUCACACCUGUAAUCCCAGUACUUUGGGAAUCCUUGGCAGGUGGAUCACUUGAGGACAGGAGUUCGAGACCAGCCUGGGCAACAUGGUGAAACCCCAUCUCUACUAAAAAUACAAAAAAAUUAUCCGGGUGUGGUGGUGCAUGCUUGCAGUCUCAGCUACUUGGGAAGCUGAGGUAUGAGAAUCACGUGAACCCAGGUGGUGGAGGUUGCAGCAAGCUGAGAUCGUGCCACUGCACUCCAGCCUGGGUGACAGAGUGAGACUCUGUCUCAAAAAAUAAAACAAAAAAAAACAAAAACGGACGGGCACAGUGGCUCACACCUGUAAUCCUAGCACUUUGGGAAGCCAAGGUGGGUGGAUCACUUGAAGCCAGGAGUUUGAGACUAGCCUGGCCAACGUGAAACCCCAUCUCUACUAAAAAUACAAAAAUUAGCCAGGUGUGGUGGCAGGCACCUGUAAUCCCAGCUACUUGGAAGCCUGAGGCAGGAGAAUAGCUUGAACCCAAGUGGCAGAGAUUGCAGUGAGCUGAAAUCACGCCACAGCACAGUGAGACUCUAUCUCAAAAAACAAAAUCAAAACAACGCCACUUUUACUUAAGAAUGUCCUUGCUGAAGUAGUAAAUUUAUUAAUUAAAAAAAUUCUCCACCCUUACAUACAUGAGUUUUUAAUAUUUUGUGUGACAAAAUGGGAAGCAUGCAUAAAGCAUUUGAGCAAUUAUUUGAGUUUGUGAGCUUUGGUAACUGAUUUUUUUUUUUAAUGUCUUCCCUCAUCAUCCAGGCUAGAGUGCAGUGGCAUGAUGAUGGCUCAAUACAACCUUGACCUCCUGGGCUCAAGUGAUCCUGCCACCUCAGCCUUCCAAGUAACUGGAACUAUAGGAGUGUGCCACCAUGACUGGUUAAUUUUUUUUUUUUUUUUUUUGUAGAGACAGUGUCUCACUAUGUUGCCCAGAACUCCUGGGCUUAAGCAAUCCUCCUGCCUUGGCCCCCAAAAUGCUCAGAUUACAGGCAUGAGACAUGGUGCCCCGCCUGAUUUUUUUUUUUAUAUGUAGGAAAACCAUUUUUCUUUGAAUUACUGAUAGACAAAAAUAUGAAUAUUCAGACUUGGAUAUCUGGCAGGCGUUUUCUCAAAAAUUAAUAAAAUGAGCCUGUCAUUCUGAUAGCAUUUGUUGCCAAUGAUAAAAUUUGAGCUUUCAAGCAAAAUUUAGUAUUUUGGAAAUUUGUAUCUGCUUCUCAAUAUUUAAAGAUGUUGCUGAUAAGAUCAAUGAUAAUGAUAUUUUUGAUAUUAUAUAAAGAAUUGUGCUAUAAUCCUAGCUACUUGGGAGGCUGAGGCAAGAGAAUCACUUGAACCCAGGAGGUGGAGGUUGCGGUGAGCCGAGAUUGCACCACUGCACUUCAGUCUGGGCAACAGUGUGAGACUCUGUCUCA
rnacentral:lncRNA from 1 species